rnacentral:rRNA from 1 species
GAGUUUGAUCCUGGCUCAGGAUGAACGCUAGCGGCAGGCCUAACACAUGCAAGUCGAGGGGUAACAUAGAAAAGCUUGCUUUUCUGAUGACGACCGGCGAACGGGUGCGUAACGCGUAUGCAACCUGCCCUAUACUGAAAGAUAGCCCGAAGAAAUUCGGAUUAAUAUUUCAUAACAAUUAUUAAUCGCAUGAUUUAUAAUUUAAAGGUUACGGUAUAGGAUGGGCAUGCGUCCCAUUAGCUUGAUGGUAAGGUAACGGCUUACCAUGGCAACGAUGGGUAGGGGGCCUGAGAGGGUGAUCCCCCACACUGGUACUGAGACACGGACCAGACUCCUACGGGAGGCAGCAGUGAGGAGUAUUGGUCAAUGGAGGCAACUCUGAACCAGCCAUGCCGCGUGCAGGAAGAAUGCCCUACGGGUUGUAAACUGCUUUUAUAUAGGAAUAAACCUUUCUACGUGUAGAAAGCUGAAGGUACUAUAAGAAUAAGCACCGGCUAACUCCGUGCCAGCAGCCGCGGUAAUACGGAGGGUGCAAGCGUUAUCCGGAAUCAUUGGGUUUAAAGGGUCCGCAGGCGGACUAAUAAGUCAGUGGUGAAAUCCCAUCGCUUAACGAUGGAACUGCCAUUGAUACUGUUAGUCUUGAAUUCGGUCGAAGUGGGCGGAAUGUGUCGUGUAGCGGUGAAAUGCGUAGAUAUUAGAAAGAACACCGGUGGCGAAGGCGCUCUACUGGACCAUUACUGACACUCAGAGGCGAAAGCUAGGGGAGCAAAAGGGAUUAGAUACCCCUGUAGUCCUAGCCGUAAACGAUGGAUACUAGAUGUUGCGCAUUACGUGCAGUAUCGUAGCUAACGCGUUAAGUAUCCCGCCUGGGGAGUACGCUCGCAAGGGUGAAACUCAAAGGAAUUGACGGGGGCCCGCACAAGCGGUGGAGCAUGUGGUCUAAUUCGAUGCAACGCGAAGAACCUUACCAGGGCUUGACAUACUACAGAUCCCUUUGAAAAAAGGGAGUGCCUUCGGGAAUGUAGAUACAGGUGGUGCAUGGCUGUCGUCAGCUCGUGUCGUGAGAUGUUGGGUUAAGUCCCGCAACGAGCGCAACCCUUAUUUUUAGUUACCAAUUCGUUGGGUUCUCUAGAAAGACUGCCGGUGACAAACCGGAGGAAGGUGAGGAUGACGUCAAGUCAGCAUGCCCCUUAUGUCCUGGGCUACACACGUGCUACAAUGGCUAAGACAAAGAGUCGCGAGCUCGCGAGAGUCAGCUAAUCUCAUAAACUUAGCCCAAGUUCAGAUUGCAGGCUGCAACUCGCCUGCAUGAAGUUGGAAUCGCUAGUAAUCGCUGGUCAGCCAUACAGCGGUGAAUCCGUUCCCGGGCCUUGCACACACCGCCCGUC